GAUGAACGCUGGCGGCGUGCUUAACACAUGCAAGUCGAACGGAAAGGCUCCUGCUUGCAGGGUUACUCGAGUGGCGAACGGGUGAGUAACACGUGGGUGAUCUGCCCUGCACUUCGGGAUAAGCCUGGGAAACUGGGUCUAAUACCGGAUAGGACCAUCGUUUAGUGUCGGUGGUUGAAAGUUUUUUUGGUGUGGGAUGAGCGCGCGGCCUAUCAGCUUGUUGGUGGUGUAAUGGCCCACCAAGGCGUCGACGGGUAGCCGGACUGAGAGGGAGUACGGCCACAGUGGGACUGGGAUACGAGCAAGACUCAUUCGGGAGGCAGGGGUGGGGACUAGUCCAAAAUACGCGGAAGGAUUGAGGAGGGACGUCGGGUCGGGGAUGACGGCCUUCGGGUUGUAACCUCCUUUAGCCAGGGACGAAGCAAAAGUGACGGUACCUGGAUAAGAAGCACCGGCUAACUACGUG
rnacentral:rRNA from 1 species